rnacentral:lncRNA from 1 species
CUAGAAAAUCCUGGACAGAGAAUUCCCUUCCUCUGAAAAGCCCUUGGUGACAAAACGCUGGUAAAGGAAGAGGACAACCUGGGGACAUCACAGUCCCAGGGUCCUGAGGACCUUCAGAUAGGACAUCAGAGAAUUCAGAGCCCAGACAGCUGGUGAACAGAACAUGGAGCUGACAAGUACAGCAGCCCCCAAAACCGAGGGCUUCAGCAACACUGGCUUCCGGAAUGAAGAACUUCUGGAAAACCAGAACAUAUCCGGAAACAGCUCAAUUAGGAGUCGAGUUGUACAAAGCCAGGAACAAGGAAACACCAAACAGGUAGAGCUGGACGGUGGUUGAGGGACUCAUCACCAUG